UACGUAGGGUGCAAGCGUUAUCCGGAAUUAUUGGGCGUAAAGAGCUCGUAGGCGGUCUGUCGCGUCGGCUGUGAAAACUCGGGGCUCAACCCCGAGCCUGCAGUCGAUACGGGCAGACUAGAGUGCGGUAGGGGAGACUGGAAUUCCUGGUGUAGCGGUGAAAUGCGCAGAUAUCAGGAAGAACACCCGUGGCGAAGGCGGCUCUCUGGAACGCAACUGACGCUGAGACGCGAAAGCGUGGGGAGCAAACAGG
rnacentral:rRNA from 1 species